AUGCCCUCCCUCGCCUCCCUCGGCCUCACCAUCACAGAGAAGCUCACCCGUGACAACUUCCUGGUAUGGAAGGCGCAAGUCCUCCCGCACGUCAGGGCUGCGGCGAUGAUGGGUUACCUCGACAGCUCGAUCAAGGAACCCGCUGUUGUCAUCGUCACCAAGAAGGAGACCGUCGGGAAGAAGGAGAUCACCGAGAUGCCGAAUCCAGAGCAUGCGAUCUGGGUCACCCAAGAUCAACAGGUGCUCACUUUUUUGCUUGCCUCCUUGUCUCGCGAGGUUCUGAUGCAGGUCGCCAACCAUACCAUGGCCGUGGGCGUUUGGCAAGCCCCGGUCAAGAGUUUCUCUGCGCAAUCCAGGGCGCGCCAGAUUCAGCUCCGAUCAGCGAUCGGAAACGCUCGCAAGGGCGACCUCUCUGCUGUCGCUUACUUCACCAAGAUGAAGGGGCUAGCGGACGAGCUCGCUGCUGCAGGGAAACCCCUCGAUGAAGAUGAUGUCGUGUCACACAUCUUGGAGGGUCUCAUGAACGAGCCCGACUACAACGGGUUCGUCACCGCCAUCUCCGUGCGCGCUGUCACUGAUCAACCGAUCGGCCUCAGAAAACUCUUCUCGUUGUUGCUCUCUGCAGAGUCCCGGAUCGCCGCCCAGCACGCUGCCUACACCGCUCACCACUCCGCCAACCUUGCUGCACAAGGUGGUCGUGGCGGCUACGGUGGUGGACGUGGCGGUUAG
rnacentral:rRNA from 1 species